UCCAAAUCAUCUCUUAAUUUCAGCCAUUUUGCACGUACCUGAUUGGGUUGGGGGUGAUUGUUAUCUAAUAGUCUGAUGGGGGUAAUGGUCAUCUGUUAACUGCCUCUCCGUGUCUGAAUUUGAUAAUGUCGGUUUUAAGGUCUAUUAAAUUAAUUCACCGCCCCUCAGAUAAGGCUUUUCUGUAGAGCCCACGUUAACAAUAGAUCCUUUGUGCUAUCAUAUAUACACAAUACCGCAUUUCAUAUAAACCGCACAUUAAUCAAUAGCCCUAUAUGCAGAUAUGCAUAUUGCAUCAAAGGAAGAGAAAAUGUCAAACAUAUGGACCACAUAUGAAGUAGAAUCUCAUACUUAUUUAUUACACAACGAUGAAUAAUUUUCUUUCUUAAUAAUGUGAUGUCCAGUUGCUAUGGCAGUGAGUGCAAUAGCAACACGUACGUAGCACACAUCCUGUAUUGGCAACCAGCAACAACAACAAUUCCCUCUUGGGUAUAUAAACCAGGUUUGGAAAAUUUCGCUGUUAUACAGCGGAAAUUUUACGUAAGUAAUAUUUAAGGCUCUCAACCAGUUUAACCUGUAAUAUUUCAGCUUGUAUUUCAGAUCGGCCCAGAGUUUGACAUCAACCUGCCGAGUUCAUCUGGCUCUUAUUAUAUUGUUUUGUCAUUGUUGUUUGGUCGAUAAGAUACCUGAUUAAAAUGCAAAUUUCGUACAAGACAAAACGAUUCACGUUAAUUGUUUUAGUGACGCUUAUUUUAAUAAUGAGCGUUGAUUUCUCUUUCUCAACUGAGCUUGAUUUAAACGGUCGACUCUUGACAUUCCUCGCCUUAGAUCAACCUCCCUACGAUAACUUGAUCCGAGGGCCGAAUGGCACUUUCACGUUCACUGGUGUGAACUAUAACUUGAUUUCUUGGAUGUCGAAUAAAUUCAAUUACACGUUCCGUUUGCUUCUGAUUAACCAAUCUCUUGUCGAGAAAUACGGUAUGCAUGGGGCUGCUCAUUACCAACUGGCUAACCAAGAGG